AGAGUUUGAUCCUGGCUCAGGACGAACGCUGGCGGCGUGCUUAACACAUGCAAGUCGAGCGAUGAAACUACUUCGGUAGUGAAUUAGCGGCGAACGGGUGAGGAACACGUGAGGAAUCUGCCUUCUACACUGGGAUAACUCCGGGAAACCGGGGCUAAUACCGGAUAUGAAACUUGGUGGCAUCACCGAGUUUGGAAAGUUUUUCGGUUGAAGAUGACUUCGCGGCCUAUCAGCUUGUUGGUGAGGUAAUGGCUCACCAAGGCGACGACGGGUAGCCGGCCUGAGAGGGCGACCGGCCACACUGGGACUGAGACACGGCCCAGACUCCUACGGGAGGCAGCAGUGGGGAAUAUUGGGCAAUGGAGGAAACUCUGACCCAGCGACGCCGCGUGAGGGAUGAAGGCCUUCGGGUUGUAAACCUCUUUCAGUAGGGAAGAAGCGAAAGUGACGGUACCUACAGAAGAAGCACCGGCUAACUAUGUGCCAGCAGCCGCGGUAAUACAUAGGGUGCAAGCGUUGUCCGGAAUUAUUGGGCGUAAAGAGCUCGUAGGUGGUUCGAUACGUCGGAUGUGAAAAUCAGGGGCUCAACCCCUGACCUGCAUCCGAUACGGUCGAGCUAGAGUUUGGUAGGGGAGACUGGAAUUCCUGGUGUAGCGGUGGAAUGCGCAGAUAUCAGGAGGAACACCGAUGGCGAAGGCAGGUCUCUGGGCCAAUACUGACACUGAGGAGCGAAAGCGUGGGGAGCGAACAGGAUUAGAUACCCUGGUAGUCCACGCCGUAAACGGUGGGCGCUAGUUGUG
rnacentral:rRNA from 1 species